rnacentral:lncRNA from 1 species
CCAAACCAAACUCAACUUGAUCCAUGAUUAAGUGAGUUGUUUUGUGUCCAAGAUAGGUUGCCUCUUGGUCAAGCAAAUAACCUAAAGAAAAUACAAGGCACUUCCCAUUUUGUUUUGGCAUGGAAAGUUUAUGGAGCUUGGCUUACUAGUCAUGAUCUCUAACUUGUGUUCUUUGCCUAUAUUUUUAUUGACCGGCCUCAGAUAGGUGAUCUGAGCAACUAUGCCUAAAGGAGUUCAAGAGCAACUAUGCCUCAUGCUUAUGGAGCUUGGCUUACCUAUGCUUAAAUGAGAUCAAGAGCAACUAUGACUCAUGCCUUUAGAGUGCUAAAUUGGUUGAAAAGCAACUAGGCAUCAUGCCUUUAGAAUGCUAAAAUUCCAAGUUGAUCUCAAAAGGACUUCUCUUCAAAACUUAUUCUUUGUCCAUUCCCCUUAUUGUGUUGUGAACUUUUUGAUGUUUGUUUGUGUGUGAUAGGGAUCCCACUUUGAGAUUGUGAAAAGAGGACCAUUGUCAUGAGUAACCAAGUUAAGAGACAAGUCAAAUGGAGAUCCUAUGAGCUUGAAUGCGAAUUAUUGAUUGCUUGUUUAUGUGUUAAGUCCAAAGGAAAUGAGCAUCUUGAAUCAUCUCUAUGAUUCCAAGAAAAGGAACUCCAAGGGUUUAUCUUUCCCUCUCUUAUCUUUGUAUGCUUUAGGACUAGCCCUUCUCUUCUUCUCCCCACUCUAACCAAGCCAAAAUCUUUUUCUUCAAACUUUGACUUUGUUUCAAAUUAGAAACCUAGGCCUUAAGCCUUUGACUACUAACCAAGCCAAAAUCUUUUUCUUCAAACUUUGACUUUGUUUCAAAUUAGAAACCUAGGCCUUAAGCCUUUGACUUUUCAAAACCAUUUUCAUCAAUACUCAUUGUGAAUAAAUCUUAAUCCAACUAUGACUUCAUUUUGUAAAUAAAUCUAACUUGUAAAUAUAACCCAUUUCAAGUUGUUUUGUGGUUCCAAUGGCCACUUGUUAAAACUUUUCAUAAACAUUAGUCAUAGGUUUGAGUUAUCAUAGUGGUUAAUGUAAAUCUCACCUCAUCCUUAGUGAUUGGAUUAUAAGUCUUCCAUGCUUAUUAUAGGGUUAACCACUCACUAGCAUGUUGAAGCCUUCCUCACAUGGUGGAUUGUUGGUUUAGGUUUAGUUUUCUCCCUUUGAUAACAAAAGACCUUAAGGCUUUUGAUCAAAUCAAUUCACCAAUCUUUGAGAUUUUUACCCCGAACUACGAGAUUUUGAUCCUCCUUUGUGAUGGUACGUAGGCAAUGGAUUCAUACAUUCAAACAACAAAUUUGUAAAUAUAAUCUAUUCUCUUCUCACCCCCCCAAUCUUUUGGUACAAAUAUUUUCACAAAUACCAACCUACAACACAUAUUUGCAAAAAGGGUUCCCUUAGAAUACUAAGGAUGUUUUGGGUGCGUAAAACCUUCUCAUUUCAUAACCAACCCCCUUACCCAGAUCUCUGACAUUUUUAUUAGUUUUUGAUUUGAUUUUGAAGAAUGGAACCGAAAACAAGCGAAAAAUCCCUUUCCUUUGGACAAAUAAAAGUGCGGUGGCGACUCGAAUUGUAUGUUUACUUUUGGUUUAGUCAAUAAACCUAAAGGUAACAAAAACCCCACUACAAUAUUCAAUGUAGCCCCUUUUCCAUGUAAAUUACCAUUUUUUAACUUUUGUAAAAGAUCUAUGGGGUCUUGUCAUUUACAGACUACCAUCCUAUUAAAUAAAGUUGAGCUUUUUAUCCAAUUGUUUCUACUCUUAUUUAUUUCAGCUAAAUAGAUUUAAAAUUUUAUGAUGAUUAUAUUGAAAUUGAAUUUAAAUCAUGUUUUCUUAAAAUAAUAAAAGCAGUUACUUUUUAAAUCGAUUUCAUUUAAGGCAUAUCAAUAGUGGUCUGAGAGCAGUAGGCCCUAAAUGAGAAGCAUUAUUGGUUUUCCCCAAGCAAUUGGAGUGAGCUUUGUUUCCUCUCCAGCAGUGUUUCAGCAUCGCCAACCGAGUUUUGUUGGUAUCCCCAGCUGAGUUUGUGAAUGCAUCCCUCGAGUUGUAGGCACGUUGUCUCAGCAAAUCAUUGUUUCCCUCAAGUCUCCAAUGGAUUCCAUUCAGCAUGGAUUCUAGAGCAGUUAUCUGAUCCUCUGUAAGGUUGUCUCCCCGUUUGAUAUGGUGUUGACCUAAAAUUCCCCGCAGAGUUGAUAGUGCAGAUUUUCGGCAGAUCUUUUCCUUUUCCCCAGCCAAGGUUGAGCCUUUGAGAUAGAUGAUCUGCGUUCAUCCUUUACCUCUCUUUCUCCAAUUGGUUACCUCCUGUGAGGAUGGGCUGAGUGUUGUAUUGGUGAUGCAGACCAGUGACAUUUGUAUCCUUUGCGAUCGUUUUGUCGGCAUAAUCAUCAUAUAUACAUAUACAUAUACAUUCAUAAAUUUCAUUAUUGCAUUAUUAUUUGCACUUUGUGAUUCAUUAUUUCUCUUAUCCUCUGUUGUGGUGGUAUCCUUUCCCCCACGCAGAUUUGGUGUGUCUGUCCUCUUUCAAUUGUAGAGUGUCAGCCCCUUAAGCGGAAAUAAUUUUACCUUUCUCAUUCCCCACUGAGUUAUUUCCUCGUGGAUAAUUAUUUCAGCUUCCUCCCCAGUUGAUUAUCUGGAUGGAACCACUCCCCCUGAGUUAUAUCCUUAUCGGGUUGAGUCCUUGAUUAACCUUUUCUUUCUAGAUCUUACCUAAAUAGAUGCUUUUGGUCCCCUGAGAGUCUAUUACCCAAUAGUGGGUAAUACUCUUCUCGAUUUGUGAGUACUUUACUUUUUCCCAAUACCCGGUAAAAGUAAUAUAUUUCCUCUUUCUCCCAGCAGAUUCGUUUUCAUGUUUCUCCAGGAAGUCUAUCCUUGAUAUGUUCAUCCUAACCGAUGACAGAUAUUUUCUUCCCCUGCUUCGAGUCUAUCCUUGAUAUGUUCAUCCUGAUCGGUGACGAAUAUUCUCUCCUUGUGGUAUUCUACCCAGUAAAACGGUAGUUGUAAUCCCUAUUUCUUUCCCCAGAGGGUUAACCCUUGAUAUGUUCAUCCCAAUUAAUUACGGGUUUUCUCCUCUUUGUGGUCUUCUGCCCAGUAACUGGUAGUUAUAAAUCCUGUUUCCCCUUGCGGAGUCUAUCCUUGAUAUGUUCACUUUAACCAGUGAUGGAUAUUCUCUUCUUUGGUAUUCUAUCCAAUAACAGAUAGAUUUGAUUUCUGUUUCUCCCCUCUGAGUUUAUCCUUGAUAUGUUUACCCUAACCGGUAAUGGAUAUUCUUCCUAAUUCCUCAGGUGUUUUAUCCUUGAUAUGUUCAUCUUAAUCGAUGACGGAUAUUCUUCCUUUGAUUUUAUCCUUGAUAUGUUCACUUUAAUCAGUGACAGAUAUUCUCUCUUUUUGGUCUUCUGCCCAGUGACCGGUAGUUGUAAAUCCUAUUUUGGCUUUUCCCCAGCUGGUUAUUCUUACCCAGUGACUGGUAAUGAAUAUACCUCCGAGAUGCCCUCAGCGAGUCAUCCUUGAUAUGCUUACACUAACCGGUAACAGAUGUCCUCCCUUCCAGAUUUGUUAUUACCUUAUCCAGAAACCGAUAGUGGAUAAUACAUUUAUGUUACUCCUGUGUUGAAGAUCAUUUCUUCCCCGGUUGAGUUUGAGUGCGUAUUUCCUCAGUGAGAUCGUUGUUUCCUGCUUGGGUUGAGUAUUUCAACUUUGUUCUGAUCUACCUGUUUCCCCUGCAAAUGUUCCUUUUAUUCCCCGACUGAGUCUUUCCAUUGAUUUGUUUUCAUGGAAUCCCUCGUGUCCCCCUAGCAGUUUUAAGUCGUAGCCUGGCCUACGCGUAACUUUUAUCCCCUAGAGUCUCUGUCUCCCCAGUGAGUUUUCCUUAUGGAAUGCAUUAUGCUCUUGCGGACUUUCAGUCUCUCCAGAUUCUUUUCCCUUGUGACAAAGUUUUCCCCACAAGAUUAUUUUUAGCAUUCAUAUCAUAUGCAUCACAAGGUCUCUUAGGGACCAAAAUUUGUUUCUAUAUGUUGUUAUUUAAGUCCAUUCUACUGAGUCAAUACGAAUAUUUAACCUUCAUCUCCUCAGUUAGAACGUCCUUAAAUAGGGGCAGCUAUAAGACCCCAAUUUUGACCCUAAGAUCCCUCAUGUUAUCUCAUCGUAUGCAUUAGCAUUGAGAUCACACCUUGGCAUCCUCCUUACCCCUCUUUCAUUGGGGUUGCAUUGGGAGAGAUCACCAAGCAUAUUUGAUUGUAUCAUGCUUCAUUUUUCUUUAUUUACUAACCAAAAUACCAAAAAUAUGUCAUUGUAUAGUUUAACUCUUUUGUAGGUAGUGCACAGGCCCACCUAUGCUCUAUCAAGCUCAUAUAUAGGAUUUGAGACCCUCAAUACAAGGAGCUCAAUCAAGAAAUGAUUUACUGUGGCUCUAAGUAUCAUAUAUGGGUCCCCAUGAUCUUCAUAUGUUAUUUUGAUCAAGAGAUCAUCAAGAGUUGGGAAUUGAUUUGCCUUGGAAACCCUAAUUCAUCUAGGUAUCUUGUGUGACUUCUUCAACAAGUUUCCUUAAUAAUUGAUCAAAUAUUUAAAGUUACACUUCAAAUUACACCAUCUUAUGCAUAUAUGAUCCUCCAUGAGUCUCAAAGAUCAAUAAAACUUCAAGUUUGCAAGUUGGUUUAAGGUGGUUGACCAGUGAAAGUCAACUAGCCAAAACUGGGGUUCCCUAUAUCCUACAAUUUUUGUCAUAUGAAAAUGAUUCCAAGAUUAAAGUUACUCUAAAUGACAUUCCAAAAAACUUUCAUGUUGAGUUCUAGAGAAAAUUUUGCUUGGAAAGUCAUUUUUUAUGGUGAAAGAUUAUAGGUCAUUUUGUCUAAACCCUAGCUUGGAGGUCAACUUCCCAAGGCCAUAAAUUGCUCAUUUUUUAUGAGAUGAAAGCCAUUCAAAUUUCAUGAUCAAAUUCAAGAGGUCUACUUAAAAUUUUAUGUUUGGAGGAAGUGCAAAUUCAACUUGCAAAUUCAUGUGCCAAGAGGAAACAUUAUAGGUCAUUUUGGACCAUUACCAUUGAACAAGUGAUUUUCCUCAACUUCUAAAAUGCAUAACUCCUUCAUGCCAAAUCAAAAUAAGGUCAUAUUUGUGACCAAAUUGAAUAGGUUUCAAAUAUAUACAACUUUUAUGAAGGAACUGUUCUCAUUUGAAGCCCAUAGAAAAAGAUAUUUAAGGUGGAAGAAGUGAACAUUUGACUUGGGACUUAGAAACUUUUCAAAUAUGUUUGAUUUCCCAAACUUCCACCUCAAAAUUAAUCAUGAUCCAAGCUUCAAAUGAAAAAGUAUUCAACAUGAAAGUUGUUCCCCUUGAUCUCACCUUUCCAAAACAUCCAAGAUCAUCUCAUUUGGACUAAAAUUGAAGGACUUGCGCAUGGUUUCAUUAUGGGAAGUGUUUUGGCAAGAUUGAACUUCACAUGAUCAUUUUCAUUUGCAUGCUUACACAUGAUGGUUUCAGCAGACUUUGUACAUGAUUUGGAGUUGGAUUGCAUCACUCUUGAGGCCCAAAUGAUUGCCCAUGCACCCAUGCAAGUUAAUUACUAUUUUUUUCCAAUUUUUAAGUGGUGUAAAUAUCAAACACAUUGUCUAUUUAAACAAGCUUAAGGCUUCAGAUUCAUGAUCAACACCUUGCCCAAGCAUUGCUAGACCUCUGCAAACCCUCACUACCAUAGAAUUUUUUGAGAUUUCUCUUGAAAUCGAGCUUGAACUUCACCUUCUGUUUGGAAGUUCAAACUCUAGAAAUUCACUUCCAUUUUCAGUUCAUUUGGUUUCUGCAAGCAAGAGGAGGAGAAAGCAAUCAAAUCUAGAUCAAGAUCAAGUCAAAUUGGAUCAACUCGAAGGUGAAUUUUCAGAAACUUCCACUCUUUGAUUCUCUCUUAUUUCUCCACUAUUCUUGUUGAUUUUUGGUUAUCUGAAGUCCUACCAAUGUAGGCAACAAGAUUGAGUUGCUUUGAGGUUAAAUCGAAGCAACUUAGUUCAUGAUCCUCAAAAUUCAACUCCAUGUAUCUUCUCAUAUACUUGGAGUUAGACAAAAUUGAGGCCAGAUUCGAGCUCCUGAGCAUUUUUUCUUUAAAUCCAUGUCUUGCUUUUUUAUUUUGGUGAUGGUUGAAGGUGGACCAGUCCGGUGAGGUCCACCGAAGAAGAAGAUCAGAGCUCUGGCUCCGGUGAUAUGUUGGCAAGCUUCUCAACCAUAGGAUCCAUUUAAAUUAUUUUAAUCUUAGGCGUUGAUUGUGAUUACCACGUGUGCUGCUCAGUUAACUAAAGAACACAUGGAACAUGCCUUUGAACCAUCUGAUCUUCCACCUCAAUUAAUGAGGGAGAUCAGAUGGUCCACAUAUUUUUGAAUUCCUGAAUUUUCAUUUUUAUUGCUUUAUUUUCAUUAAUUCAUAUUAAUUUCAUUAUUGAUCCAAAAAAUAUGGGACUUUCACCAAAAAAAUUCAAAUAUUUUCCUCUUUCAUUUUAUGAAUUAAAAUUAUUUUUUAGAUCAAUAUUGAUAUUUUUCAUGAUUUAAUUGUUUUUGUGCAUAUUUUAAAUUGUUUAAAAAUACUUUGGACUUUUUAAAAAUAGUGAAAUUUUUUCUCCAAUGUCCUUUGACCUUGUUUGACCUAUGAUAAAUCUCUUGGCCAUUUAUUUGGUGUUUUGAAUAGGUUUUAGGUUUUUGGUAAAACAUAAUUUAAUUUAAUGCAUUUUUAAUUUGUUUAAUUGAAAUAAUUUGUGUUGAGCCAUUUUUAUUGACUUAUGGAGUUUGACUAUUGUGUUUGGGCCUUGGUCAAGGUUGAUUUGACUUUUGUUGGAUUAAAAUCAUUGGAUUUAAGGGAUUGAUGAAAUAUACAUUUCAUCUCCCAAAAUGAAUGAAUGAUUUUAAUUUGAUGAAAUUCCUCCCAUGACCAAUUUGUGUUUGUCUCCUUUCCCCUCCCUCUUCAUAUUCAAUCCCUAUUUAUCUCACUCCUCUCAUUGGUCAAUUACAUCUCAAUAUCCUAAGGCUAAUCGGUUCAUGAACCAAUACAAGUAUGGAUGAGAUUAGGUCCAUCCUUUGAUCAUUUUCUUUUUGUGUGUGGUAUGUUUUAGGAGUAUGGUUCAUCAUGUCAUAUCUCUAACAUGCAUUAACACCAAAAAAUUUAGUGUCCGACCUCAGAUAGUUGUGACUUCUACAUAAGUCAAAUUACGAUUGCUUAACAUAUCGCUAAAUUUUGACACAAAAUGCAUAGCAUUCUAGUAAGUGAAAUUGUAAGUCUCCCCUUUUUCAUGGUAUUGUGUGGAAACUUGGCCUUUUUUCCUUCCUUUGGAAGAUGUCCUGGUUCAAGGAUCCAUGCUUGUGAGUAGAGGGUUGAGUAUUCUCCAAAGAAUGACUUAAAAAGUUGAAAAGAAAAACUCCACUAACAUCUAAUCAACUAACCUUUGACUAGAGGGUUGAGUGUUCUCCAUAAUUGAUUUAAAUUUCAAGUCAUUUACUUUAUGCCAUUUAAAUUCAAGUCAUUUACCAUUUGCCAUUAUACAUAUCAUUUAACUUGUUUAUUUUAAUGUAAUUUUCCCUUUGCUCACUUGAGCCAUAUAUUGUGAUUGUAUAUAUUUGUUUGUAUUAUUUUGGUUGAGCUUGUGGUCUUAGGACCUUAAAAUACUUAAUAAACAACAAAAACCCUAAAAAAUAUUUGUGUGGACUGUUGGAUUUGAUAUGAGCUUUGGACUUAGAAUUAGGCAACAUUUCCUAUGCAAAAGGACUUGGCCAAUGCCAACAUUUUUGAAACCAAGUCAUUGUGACGUUGAGCUUUCAUCUGAUACAAGUAUUGGGAUCCACAUGAGUUCAUCAGCUACAUGGUCUUGAUGCAGGUGUUACUUUGAACCUGUGUCUAAUGCCUUAUUCUGAGCCAUUCAUGGAGUAUGUCAUCUGAUACAUGGGGAAGAUUAUGAAGAAGAUUAUGAAGUUGCUAGCUUGGAUGUGGAUAUCUUUAUUUGAUGCCUUGCUCUUCAUCUUGCUAUUUGUGUAUUGAUAUUUCUUGAUCCUAAAGUCCAAGGGAAAAAUGGGUUUCUAUAUGACAUUCUUGUCUAUUGGAUUGUAUCCCAUUGGUCAAAUAUUUUCAACUCUUAACUUUUAAAUUUUUGCUUAGGAUUAGCCUCUUCAUUUCCUCUCACUUCUUAAAUUUCAAAUUUCUCCCUCUUUUCAAAAACCUUCUUUGCUUGUGAUUUCUAAACUUAGACUUUAUUCCAAAUUAGAAACUUUGACCUUAUGUCAUUGCAUUUUUAAACUCUUUUCUUAAAUCAAACUUGUGAAUAAAUCUAAUCAUAUUGACUUAAAGUUUCAAAAGACAAAAAGAACUAACACUCAUUCAAACUCUUUUAGGCCCUUUGUGCCUCCUUUAAACUUAAAUUUUUGUUAAAAGCAAUUCACUCACUUUAAAAUUGAUACCAUGAACUACGAGGUUUUGAUCCCUCAUUUUUAUGUUGGUACAUAGGCAUAAGUCCGGAGGUCUUGUCAAACACAAAAAUAUAAUCAAUGAAUUCUUUUCUCAUCCCCACACUCUAUUUAUUGCAAGCAUCAUUUUAUACCAAAAAUACAUACACACAUAAAAAAGGGCUCUCUAGGAGUACCUAGGACACUUUGGGUGCUAACACCUUCCCUCUGUGUAACCAACCCCCUUACCUGUAAUCUCUGGCAUUUUAUUAGUUUUGAUUUGAAAACUUCUUAUCUUUGAGUUUUGCUCGUACUUUUCUCUUUUCCCUUGGAAACAAUAAAAGCGCGGUGGCGACUCUGAUUUUAUUGACGUUAAGUUUAUCCAUAGCUUAAUGGUCAUGAAUUUACCGCUACAGUCUGCACGGGAAAAUAUUUCAUUUUAAUAUGCAAUUGAAAGAAAAUAGAAAUAUAGACGAAAUGAACGUAAUGUAAUAGAUAUAACAUUAAUAAAAUCACAACAAAGCAAAAUAUGCAAGUCGAUAAAAACUUCAUAAUAUUUUGAUGAGUUUGAAUAAUAAAAUUAUUAUGUGUCCAACAAAGGAAAUUAAAAACUAAAGUUGUAAUAGUUAUGCAUAAACAAAUGAUACUUGAGGAAUUGGUAGGAUCAAUUGUAGACAUGACAUAACCUAUAAACAUGUUUAAAUAAAGGUGAAUUAAUGAUUUACGAUAAUAAUGGCAGAAAAAAUAUUAAUGUGAUUUAAAAAAAAUAUUAAUAAGCAGAAAAUUAAAGUUACCUAUAUGAUGUUAUGAAAAAAUUCUUUAAAGACAACAUUUGUUGUUUGAAAUAAGGAUUUGUUGUCUUUGUCAUGUAUCAAGAUUUUCAAUCCAGCUUUGCUCUUAACUCUUGAAAUAGCCACAUAUAGUUGUUCGUGGCUGAAAACAUUCUUGGGGAAAUAUAAACCGACAUAGUCCAAUGAUUUACUUUGAGAUUUGUUGAUUGUCAUAGUAAAUGACACAAUAAUUGGGAAUUGUCGUCUGAUAAGUUUGAAUGGCCAUGGAGAUUGAUAAGGAGACAAAUACAUUUUUGGGAUGUAAAUAGUGUUUCCAAUAUUUACUCCUGAAAUAAUUGUUGCUCCGAUUACAUGGUUGACCAACUUAGUAACUCUCAAUCUUGUACCAUUGCAAAGUCCUUCUGAUUGAUCCAAAUUCCUUAUCAACAUGAUGGUUGUGCCAAUUUUCAAUUUAAUUGAGUGGUUUGGCAAUCCAUAAGUUUUUAGACAACUCAAAAAUUAUGGUGUCAAAUGCUCAAAAGCAUCGUUAUCGUUGGCUUCUGAUCUAUCAAUGGAAUCACAACUCAAAUAUUCUUUUGAGUCACUUAAAUUAAAAAUGAAUGAUGCUUAAUGUCUCAAAGUUAAACAUCAUGAAACUAUAAAUGCAUGACAUACCAAAUGUUAUGCUAUGUAUUUACCGUAUGAAACUAUAAGCAUGUAAUUUAUAAGUAUCAUUUUGCAUAGUAAACUAUUCAUCAUAUGUUAUCGUUUAAAACCGGAUGACAUAUAUAAUGCACAACUGAUUAUGUUGUUAAAACAUUGUAUAACCAAUAUAAUAUUUAUGCACAGUUUCUCAUAGAAUGUUGUUGCACUUUUUGUUAUAACACUAAGGAAUAGAAUAUAUAUGCAACAAUUCUAUGAAUAGAUUUACAUAUGCAUGACAUAGAAUACUUUAUCCACUGUUUAUGAUUCAAAAGUGCAACAAUAUUUGUAUUUGUAAACAAUAUAAUAUUUUAGGGUACAUAACAAAACAACAUACCUACAUAUGCAUGUAUCAACAAUUUUAUCUAAUUUUGAAACUAAGAUUGUAUCUUUUGCUAUCAAAAUUUAAUAUACAUGAACUAAAAUGUUAUAUUAUAUCUGUUUUAGUUCUACAUGACAAUGUAUUACAUUUGUUACAUUGUAAUAUGUUUUAUACCAGUUUUGGGGGAAAUAUAUUUUAUAACAACGAUGACAGUGUAUUACAUUGCUUAAAGUAUUAUAGUACUAUCAAAAUGUUGUAAUACAAUUUAUAUUAGUUAAAGUAUUAUAUUCUAAUUUACAAACCAAUGACAAUAUAUUAUAUUGCUUAUAACGGAACUUUAAAAAUAGUAUAAAUCAGAAUGAAGAUAUACCUUGAAGAAGAUUUGUAAUGUAGUCGUUAAUGUCAUCGACUAUUUCAAUAAUUGAUGCCAAAAUAGCUCUACAUUGAAGAAAAUCUGAAUUUGUGUAGUUUUGAAUGAGAUUUGGAUAAGUACUUGUAAUAAUAGCUUCAAUUGGGUCCACAAAAUCUUUAAUGAUUAAAUCUUUUGGAAUAAGUAUCUCAGCAUAUCCAUCACUGGGUUCAAAUUUUUUUUCAUUUCCAACUUGUAAAAUCCAUUCAGAGAAUAGUCGAAUUUCUUCGAAAUUGACUAAAUUUGAGCCACUUUGCAACCACAUAUUUUUUGUUAGAUUAAGAACUUUGCAAUGAUCCAAAAUAUAUGAGGCAUUUAUUGUAGAAUGCACAAUAUCAGACCUACUACCUCUUGGUACAACGGGUAGAAUUUGUCUGAAGUCUCCACCAAAAAUAACAACUUUACCUCAAAAAAUUUGGUUACAUGGACCUUUAUCAUCACUCAUUAUAUCCUUCAAUGACUUCUUAAGAGCUUCAAAAUAAAAUUUAUUUUCCAUAGGUGCUUCAUCCCAUAUAAUGAGUUUUGUGACUUUUAAGAGAUUAGCUAAAUCAAAUUUCUUCUCAAUGUUACAUAUGGAAGAUUCAAGACAUGGAUCUGGAAUUUUGAAUUUGGAAUGUGAUGUUCUCCCUUCUGGUAACAAUAAACUUGUUAUCCCGUUUGAUGCCACAUUCAACACAAUAUCUCCUUGACAACGAAGAACAACAGAAAGUGUAUUCCAUAUGAAAGUCUCUCUGGUGCCCCCAUAACCAUAUAAAAAAAUACUCCACCUUUUUGGUUUGUGACGACUUCCAUGAUUUCUCUAUAAAUGCUAAGUUGUUCUUCUACAAUAAAAAAUAAUAUGUUUUCAUUGGAAUUAUUCAGAAGUCAUAAAAUUAUAUAUGCAAUAUGAACAUGCGUAGUCAUAUAAAGACGACACACUAGAAUAAGGACAACACACUGAAUUGAAUGAUAGAGUAAUGGAAAAAAAUUAUUGCAAGGAAGUGUAAAUAAAAAAUAGAAAUACCUGUUAAUGAUUGAAACAAAUUUUGGUAAAUAUCUUUUUGAGCCGAAAUAUCAUAUUGUCUUUCAUCAUAUAUCAAUUUAUUUCCAAGAAAGUCCAAGACAUAAUUUGAUGGAUAUGGUAUUAGUUUAAAUUCUUUUAAACUUCUUCUAUUUUUUUGAAGUUGUUUCUCAACUUCCAUCAAUGUGAGUUGUUGGAUAUCUUCAUCUGACAAAUAUAAUUCUACAAAUAAUGUUAAGAGCAAAGUAAGUUACCAAAAAUUAGAAAUCCAUAGAUUUGGGAAGAAAAUUCUAAAGUAAUGUGAAUUGUAAACAUGUCGUAUAUAUAGUAAAAUGGGCACAAUAACAGUAGUAUAAACAUGUUAAUUGAAAAGGGUAAAUAAAAAAAUAUGAAUUGUAAAGAUGAGCAGUAUAUAGAAUUUUUUUACAAAAAAGUAAAAUUGAAGGGAUAAAGUAUAAAUUUAUAAUAACCUGAAUUUUGUGACAAUCUUCUUUGUUCAUAUAGAAUGACAUCUGAUAAGUAUAUCCAAGUCUUUUUCCAAACAUGCUCAAGUCGAUUCAUUGAAGGUGACAACAACAUUGUCACAAAAAGUUUGCGCAAAAAAACUCCAAAACCCCAAUUGUAAGCCUCUUUAUUGCCUCAUUGUACUCUUUCUCAUCUUCUAGGAAACCCAAUGCAAAACAUGCGUCUCUAAAGGUAUUGUGUUUGAAUCCCUCAAUUGUCUUCAAAUCAUCAUAACAAGUUGGCCCUUUCUUCACAGUCAACAAUAUCCUCAUAUAAUACAACUCACCAGUUGUUAGAGGCACCCAAAUUAGUCGGCCAAUGGUGUAACCUCUUUUCCGUGGUUUCCAACACCUCUUUCUCCUAUCAUAAACAAAUUUGGAUACAAAUUGAUCAUAUGUUAAUAGUUUUGCUUCUUCAUACUCACUAUUUGCCACAAACCAGGAUGUAAACAUUGACUCUGUGACACUUGGUUUAAGAAGGACAUUCCCAAUUUGCUCAAAGUCUUUGUACUAUACAGAAUUCUCCCCCUCCAUGUGAAAAAAACAAUCUUUCAACUGCUGGUUUUCGACCAUGACUUGAAUAAGAGAAUAUUUUCCAGCAUGCUUCGCUUGGUGAUACAUAACGACAAUCUAGGUAUUGUUUGAUUUCAUCAAUUUUUUCAUCAGUAUGAGAGUUAUUUGGAAUAAUCACUCUUGAGAUUCUAUCAGAACCCUUGUUUAUGUAUUUGAAAAGAUAUUUGAUAGAAGUACUUUGAUUGCACCACUCCAUAUUAAUGUGUGCCUCAUAUUUCAUCAACAAAUUUGGGUUGUGGGGGACAACAUGACCACUAUGAAGUGUGAUUCCAUUUUUUUUCAAUUGUAUUCCCUUGAUCUCUCCUCCUAUAAACUGAAUAUCCAAUCAAAAUUAUCCCAAUUUAAUCAUUCAAUACAAAAUAAUUCUUUCACAUAUCCCAUUCAAACCCUUUUUUUUCAUCAUUUUCAAACUUCUAAACAAAAUCUUAAUUUAAUUAUAUAUCUACAAGAUUGAAAGUCAACUCUAACACUCAUCUUAUUUUAUUAAGUUAAUUAUAUACUCAAUCACAUAUCUUUAAAUUUAUUAAUAUUUAUUUUAAAUUUUAAUAUUAAAAAUUCACAAACAAUUAAUGUGAAACAAUGAACUAUGCCUGUUAGGCUGUUACUAUGACUAUGAGACUAAGGUGUAAUAUUUAUUUCUCAAAUGAUUUGUAAACAAAAUAUAGACAACACCACAUCAUCAUAGAACAAUCCACAUCGGAUAACGGGAGGCGCGUGAAACAAACGAACCACCAUAACAGUAAAAAAACGGACAUAUCUUAUGUCAAGUGAAUACACAACAACGCAACACUCACUAACUCUUAAUUUUGUAUCCAAAUAUCCUGAAAAAUAAAAAACAAACAAAUCUACACAAAUGAUGAACAAGAAAGUCACAAUAAUAAUAAAAAGCCGAAAAGAAAGGAAAAAAAAAAACAAGAUCCACCUCGAACCUCUCUCCACUCUCCCACUACAUUCCAAUCCAAUCACAAUCACCCUCUCUUCUCUCACAACAACAACAACACCACCACUAUCCUCACCCCCUUGUUGUCUCCCAAACCCCAUCCCCAAUUAUCACUCUCUAUAAUCCUUCAAUCAAAUUCCACAAAUUGAUUCUCUCUUCACCACCACCACCAUCACCACCACCACCGCCUUGAACAAAACCAGUGCUUGAUUCAUCACACACAUACACCGAACUCUGUGUGUGUCAGAUUUUGAGAAUCCAAUAAUGAGAGAAGACGAUUCAAAUUGGUUUUCACGAUGGGAAGAACAACUACCUCCACCGGAAGAACUCAUGCCUUUAUCACAAACCCUAAUCACUCCUGAUCUCGCUAUAGCUUUCGAUAUCAGAAACCCUCACACCACGAACACUAUCAACGCUAAUCCGCAACACCAACAACAUCAUCAACAACAACAGCAACAACCUCCACCUUCUU